UUUUGUAUAAUGGGUCAGCGACUUAUAUUCUGUAGCAAGGUUAACCGAAUAGGGGAGCCGAAGGGAAACCGAGUCUUAACUGGGCGUUAAGUUGCAGGGUAUAGACCCGAAACCCGGUGAUCUAGCCAUGGGCAGGUUGAAGGUUGGGUAACACUAACUGGAGGACCGAACCGACUAAUGUUGAAAAAUUAGCGGAUGACUUGUGGCUGGGGGUGAAAGGCCAAUCAAACCGGGAGAUAGCUGGUUCUCCCCGAAAGCUAUUUAGGUAGCGCCUCGUGAAUUCAUCUCCGGGGGUAGAGCACUGUUUCGGCAAGGGGGUCAUCCCGACUUACCAACCCGAUGCAAACUGCGAAUACCGGAGAAUGUUAUCACGGGAGACACACGGCGGGUGCUAACGUCCGUCGUGAAGAGGGAAACAACCCAGACCGCCAGCUAAGGUCCCAAAGUCAUGGUUAAGUGGGAAACGAUGUGGGAAGGCCCAGACAGCCAGGAUGUUGGCUUAGAAGCAGCCAUCAUUUAAAGAAAGCGUAAUAGCUCACUGGUCGAGUCGGCCUGCGCGGAAGAUGUAACGGGGCUAAACCAUGCACCGAAGCUGCGGCAGCGACGCUUAUGCGUUGUUGGGUAGGGGAGCGUUCUGUAAGCCUGCGAAGGUGUGCUGUGAGGCAUGCUGGAGGUAUCAGAAGUGCGAAUGCUGACAUAAGUAACGAUAAAGCGGGUGAAAAGCCCGCUCGCCGGAAGACCAAGGGUUCCUGUCCAACGUUAAUCGGGGCAGGGUGAGUCGACCCCUAAGGCGAGGCCGAAAGGCGUAGUCGAUGGGAAACAGGUUAAUAUUCCUGUACUUGGUGUUACUGCGAAGGGGGGACGGAGAAGGCUAUGUUGGCCGGGCGACGGUUGUCCCGGUUUAAGCGUGUAGGCUGGUUUUCCAGGCAAAUCCGGAAAAUCAAGGCUGAGGCGUGAUGACGAGGCACUACGGUGCUGAAGCAACAAAUGCCCUGCUUCCAGGAAAAGCCUCUAAGCAUCAGGUAACAUCAAAUCGUACCCCAAACCGACACAGGUGGUCAGGUAGAGAAUACCAAGGCGCUUGAGAGAACUCGGGUGAAGGAACUAGGCAAAAUGGUGCCGUAACUUCGGGAGAAGGCACGCUGAUAUGUAGGUGAAGCGACUUGCUCGUGGAGCUGAAAUCAGUCGAAGAUACCAGCUGGCUGCAACUGUUUAUUAAAAACACAGCACUGUGCAAACACGAAAGUGGACGUAUACGGUGUGACGCCUGCCCGGUGCCGGAAGGUUAAUUGAUGGGGUUAGCGCAAGCGAAGCUCUUGAUCGAAGCCCCGGUAAACGGCGGCCGUAACUAUAACGGUCCUAAGGUAGCGAAAUUCCUUGUCGGGUAAGUUCCGACCUGCACGAAUGGCGUAAUGAUGGCCAGGCUGUCUCCACCCGAGACUCAGUGAAAUUGAACUCGCUGUGAAGAUGCAGUGUACCCGCGGCAAGACGGAAAGACCCCGUGAACCUUUACUAUAGCUUGACACUGAACAUUGAGCCUUGAUGUGUAGGAUAGGUGGGAGGCUUUGAAGUGUGGACGCCAGUCUGCAUGGAGCCGACCUUGAAAUACCACCCUUUAAUGUUUGAUGUUCUAACGUUGGCCCCUGAUCGGGGUUGCGGACAGUGUCUGGUGGGUAGUUUGACUGGGGCGGUCUCCUCCUAAAGAGUAACGGAGGAGCACGAAGGUUGGCUAAUCCUGGUCGGACAUCAGGAGGUUAGUGCAAUGGCAUAAGCCAGCUUGACUGCGAGCGUGACGGCGCGAGCAGGUGCGAAAGCAGGUCAUAGUGAUCCGGUGGUUCUGAAUGGAAGGGCCAUCGCUCAACGGAUAAAAGGUACUCCGGGGAUAACAGGCUGAUACCGCCCAAGAGUUCAUAUCGACGGCGGUGUUUGGCACCUCGAUGUCGGCUCAUCACAUCCUGGGGCUGAAGUAGGUCCCAAGGGUAUGGCUGUUCGCCAUUUAAAGUGGUACGCGAGCUGGGUUUAGAACGUCGUGAGACAGUUCGGUCCCUAUCUGCCGUGGGCGCUGGAGAACUGAGGGGGGCUGCUCCUAGUACGAGAGGACCGGAGUGGACGCAUCACUGGUGUUCGGGUUGUCAUGCCAAUGGCACUGCCCGGUAGCUAAAUGCGGAAGAGAUAAGUGCUGAAAGCAUCUAAGCACGAAACUUGCCCCGAGAUGAGUUCUCCCUGAGACUUUAAGUCUCCUGAAGGAACGUUGAAGACGACGACGUUGAUAGGCCGGGUGUGUAAGCGCAGCGAUGCGUUGAGCUAACCGGUACUAAUGAACCGUGAGG
rnacentral:rRNA from 1 species